rnacentral:rRNA from 1 species
AGCGUAGACGGCAAGGCAAGUCUGAUGUGAAAACCCAGGGCUUAACCCUGGGACUGCAUUGGAAACUGUCUGGCUCGAGUGCCGGAGAGGUAAGCGGAAUUCCUAGUGUAGCGGUGAAAUGCGUAGAUAUAUGGAAGAACACCAUGGCGAAGGCGGCUGUCUGGUCUGUAACUGACGCUGAGGCUGAAAGCGUGGGGAGCAAACA